rnacentral:rRNA from 1 species
CCCUUAGAUGUUCUGGGCCGCACGCGCGCUACACUGACGAAGUCAGCGAGCAUGUCCUACGCCGACAGGUGCGGGGAAUCUUGUCAAACUUCGUCGUGAUGGGGAUUGAUUAUUGAAAUUCUUGAUCAUCAACGAGGAAUUCCUAGUAAGCGCAAGUCAGCAGCUUGCGUUGAUUACGUCUCUGCCCUUUGUACACACCGCCCGUCGCUACUACCGAUUGAAUGGUUUAGUGAGAUCUUCGGAUUGGCGCCACUGCGGCUCAGCAAUGGGCUCGGUGGAUGCCGAAAAGUUGAUCAAACUUGAUCAUUUAGAGGAAGUAAAAGUCGUAACA